AUUGAACGCUGGCGGCAUGCUUUACACAUGCAAGUCGAACGGUAACAGGUUAAGCUGACGAGUGGCGAACGGGUGAGUAAUGCAUCGGAACGUGCCCGGUCGUGGGAGAUAACGCAGCGAAAGCUGCGCUAAUACCGCAUACGAUCUGAGGAUGAAAGCGGGGGACCGUAAGGCCUCGCGCGAUCGGAGCGGCCGAUGUCAGAUUAGGUAGUUGGUGGGGUAAAGGCUCACCAAGCCGACGAUCUGCAGCUGGUCUGAGAGGACGACCAGCCACACUGGGACUGAGACACGGCCCAGACUCCUACGGGAGGCAGCAGUGGGGAAUUUUGGACAAUGGGCGCAAGCCUGAUCCAGCAAUGCCGCGUGCAGGAAGAAGGCCUUCGGGUUGUAAACUGCUUUUGUACGGAGCGAAAAGGCUCUCUCUAAUACAGGGGGCUCAUGACGGUACCGUAAGAAUAAGCACCGGCUAACUACGUGCCAGCAGCCGCCGUAAAAC
rnacentral:rRNA from 1 species